GGUAGGACACAGUUGGAUAGGAGGUAGGACAGGAUAGGAUAAGGGGACAGGUUUGGAUGGUAGGACAGCUGGUGAUAGAUAGGACAGCAGUGGAUAGGGGGUGGGACAGGAUUGGAUAAGGACACUGGUUUGGAUAGGGGGUAGGACAGGAUAGGAUAAGGGGACAGGUUUGGAUGGUAGGACAGCUGGUGAUAGGUAGGACUGGCAUGGAUAGGAAGGACAGCUGAGGAUAGGUAGGAAAGAGUUGGAUAGGGGGUAGGACUGGGUUGGAUAGGGGGACAGAUUUUGAUAGGUAGAACAGCUGAGGAUAAUGGGACAGGUUUUGAUGGGUAGGACAGCUGUGGAUAGAUAGGACAGGCAUGGAUAAGUGGGACAAGAGUGAACAAGAAUUGAAUUGGACAAGGUUGGAUAAGUUGCUGAGACAAGAUUGAAUAGGAGGGACAAAAUUGGAUAGGGGGACAGCUGAGGAUAGGCAGGACAGGAUUUGACAGGGCAGUGUGUGAUAUGGGACAACUAGUGACAGGCAGGACAAGGUUGGAUAAGGGGAUGGGACAAGACUGAAUAGGAGGGACAAAAUUGGAUAGGGGGACAGCUGAGGAUAGGUAGGACAUGGUUGGAUAUGAAGGACAAGGUUGGAUAAGUUGAUGGGACAAGAUUGAAUAGGAGGGACAGGUUUGGAUAAGGAGGACAGCUAAGGAUAGGCAGGACAGGAUCUGACAAGACAGCAUGUGACAUGGGACAAGGUUGGAUAAGGGGAGGGCUAGGAUUGAAUAGGAGGGACAGGUUUGGAUAGGUAGGACAGCUGAGGAUGGGCAGGACAGUGUGUGAUAUGGGACAACUAGUGACUGGGUGAGGGAGAGAUAAUACUAAUAGGAAUAAUAAUUAGGUAAAGAAUAGUUUUAAUACUUGACACAAAUAUUUUCUUUAUCUUAACUAACUUUAUCAAGGAAGAGAAAAAGACACUUGCUUAGAGAUC